UACGAAGGGGGCUAGCGUUGCUCGGAAUUACUGGGCGUAAAGGGCGCGUAGGCGGCGGACAUAGUCAGGCGUGAAAUUCCUGGGCUUAACCUGGGGGCUGCGCUUGAUACGUGUUUGCUAGAGGAUGGAAGAGGGUCGUGGAAUUCCCAGUGUAGAGGUGAAAUUCGUAGAUAUUGGGAAGAACACCGGUGGCGAAGGCGGCGACCUGGUCCAUUUCUGACGCUGAGGCGCGACAGCGUGGGGAGCAAACAGG
rnacentral:misc_RNA from 1 species